AACGAACGCUGGCGGCAGGCUUAACACAUGCGAGUCGAACGCCCCGCAAGGGGAGUGGCGCACGGGUGAGUAACGCGUGGAUAUCUGCCUUUUGGUUCGGAAUAACCCCGGGAAACUGGGGCUAAUACCGGAUGGUUCCUACGGGAUAAAGAUUUAUCGCCAAAAGAUGAGUCCGCGUACGAUUAGCUAGUUGGUGAGGUAAUGGCUCACCAAGGCGACGAUCGUUAGCUGGUCUGAGAGGACGAUCAGCCACACUGGGACUGAGACACGGCCCAGACUCCUACGGGAGGCAGCAGUGGGGAAUAUUGGACAAUGGGGGCAACCCUGAUCCAGCCAUGCCGCGUGAGUGAUGAAGGCCUUCGGGUUGUAAAGCUCUUUUGGCGGGGACGAUGAUGACGGUACCCGCAGAAUAAGCCCCGGCUAACUUCGUG
rnacentral:rRNA from 1 species